GUUGGUCAAGCUAGUCUUAGAACUCCUGACCUCAGGUGAUCCGCCCGCCUUGGCCUCCCAAAGUGCUGGGAUUACAGGCACGAGCCACCGUGCCCAGCCCAAACCAAAGCUUCCAACAGCACCUGAAUGCUGUGUUUUUGCACUUCCAUUCGUCUGCAAUCUCAGAUUUUUCGUGCAUGACUUUAGGGUUCUGGUGGCUUGGAGGGAGGAUAUCUAGUGUGUUUGCAUUUAGAUUUCAGGGACCACAGGCUUCUAAGAGAGUGUUGCUCCUGAGCCAUAUCUUGAGAAAGGGGAAGGACCAGAGGAGAUGAUCGCUACUUCAGUUUGAGGGCCAAGGGAGAACCAACUGCACGCAGCGAGGAAGAACAAGCUGCUCUGGGCUCCUUAGGACUUUCCCGGCUGUUUUUCUCCCACUUUCUGUAGAGGCUGAUGCUAUUUGUGACGCCCAUCUUCUAUAAACUGUCAGCCAGAAACACCUGCUGAAAUAAAGGCCAUCUGUUCUGAAUGCUGAAUGCGGGUUGUUGGGAUCUCCCAAAACACACACAGGAAAGUGAACUUAUGCGAAGGAAGCCAGACCUGAAAUGGACCCUCUGGGGCUUUACCGGCCCUCGGCCUCCGGUGGAUGUCGGGAAGCAGCGAAGACAGUGCUGUGGCCGUCCCAGGACGCUGUGACUCCCAUCUGGUAGAGGUCGUGCUGUGUGAGCUGGUGUGUCUCUUUUGACUCAAGGGAACAUGCUUGCUUGUGAAGUGAAAUGGCAGAUCUUCAGAGGCUCGAAAAUGCCAGCUGCUGUGUGUAAUGGAAAGACGCAGCAGCCUGGGUGGGUCAGCGGCAAUCCAGAAUGAAUGGCUCCAAAGGGGAGCUUCGCCGUGCAGGUCAGCAGAAAGACAGUAAGUUGAUGAGACUUGGUGGAUCGAAGCGAGACAAUUCAUUACUCUCAGCACCUCAAACGACAGCAGCGCAGCAUUGCAGAGCGAGGUCCCCUGAUCCCAAGUUCCAUGGCACAGGCCAGGCUCUGUUCUUUUGAUAGCAAGUGGUAACAAGCCAGUCUCCUCCACGAGUGCUGUCAAGGCCAAAAACCAAUUUGGAGUCAUCUUUGACGCUUCCAGCUCUCCCAUAUCCUUCAUCUGAUUCAUCAGCAAGCCUGUCAGCGGCGCCUUCACUACACAUCCAGAAACUGACCGCUGCUCACCCACUCCCACCUCCCACCCGUGUCCAGUAAUCGUCAUUCUUCACCCACUUCUCAACAGCUCCCUAAGUGGCCUUCCUGCCUUCCCUCUGGCUUGACUAUUCUCAACACACAAGUCAGAUCCCCUCGCUCCUCUGCUCAAUACGGAUGCUCUGGAGGCUCUCCGCCUCACUCAGUAAAAAGCAGACUUGGAGCAAAGAUCCUACAAUUAUCUGGGGGAGAGUCUCAGGCAGAGGAAACAGCCAGAACAAAUGCCACAGGCAAGAUCGUGGUAGGGAAGAACCUGAGAGGAGGGCCAGACCCAGCAGGAGUCCAGGGCCUUAGAGACCAGCUCACACUAAAAACAGCUGGAAGCAGUGACCCCCGUUGGGUGGGUAUUGUGAUAGGAGGGAAAAGAUCUUUUUUAUGAAGUUAAAAGCCUUGCACGACGGCCUGCCUUCUAAAACUAUCUACACGUAUGGCUUUGAUAAAAAUAAAAAAUAAGAAAUUUUAAAACACUGACAUAUGAGAAGAAAAAUAUAGAAACCAACGGAAAAAUUUAACAGAUGGUAUUUGUCAGCACGUAGUGGGAGUUAAGCUUUCCUUCAGCAGAUGGAUGGACAUUCUUAUAACCAAACUGCAUGA